rnacentral:rRNA from 1 species
AUUGAACGCUGGCGGCAGGCCUAACACAUGCAAGUCGAGCGGAUGAAGGGAGCUUGCUCCUGGAUUCAGCGGCGGACGGGUGAGUAAUGCCUAGGAAUCUGCCUGGUAGUGGGGGAUAACGUCCGGAAACGGGCGCUAAUACCGCAUACGUCCUGAGGGAGAAAGUGGGGGAUCUUCGGACCUCACGCUAUCAGAUGAGCCUAGGUCGUAUUAGCUAGUUGGUGGGGUAAAGGCUUACCAAGGCGACGAUCCGUAACUGGUCUGAGAGGAUGAUCAGUCACACUGGAACUGAGACACGGUCCAGACUCCUACGGGAGGCAGCAGUGGGGAAUAUUGGACAAUGGGCGAAAGCCUGAUCCAGCCAUGCCGCGUGUGUGAAGAAGGUCUUCGGAUCGUAAAGCACUUUAAGUUGGGAGGAAGGGCAGUAAGUUAAUACCUUGCUGUUUUGACGGUACCAACAGAAUAAGCACCGGCUAACUUCGUG